AGAGCCACUGUCCUAGUGGGAGAAACCCCCAUUAAUAUAAUAGGUAGAAAUAUUUUAAAGCAAUUAGGAUGUACCUUAAAUUUUCCUAUUAGCCCAAUAGAGGUAGUAAAAGU
rfam:Simian immunodeficiency virus isolate SIVcpzTAN1, complete genome.